rnacentral:rRNA from 1 species
CUGAAACCCGCCUCCAUGAAGUUGGAUUCGCUAGUAAUCGCGCAUCAGCCAUGGCGCGGUGAAUACGUUCCCGGGCCUUGUACACACCGCCCGUCAAGCCAUGGGAGCCGGGGGUGCCUGAAGUUCGUGACCGCAAGGAGCGACCUAGGGCAAAACUGGUGACUGGGGCUAAGUCGUAACAAGGUAUC